AUCCACGACUCGAGACAACGACGAACGUGCGACGUCGUUAAAUAAUUAUUGUAUUAGUGUUCAACGUGUCCUGCACGGCGAUCACUACACAUUUAUUGCAUAAUAGCAUAUGGUAAAAUUGAGUUGGAAAUCAAAUUAAUCGAUGUUUUGGCCCACACAAGAUAUUUGAAAGUAAAAGUUUAAUAAAAUUAUGUUUUAGUAUAAUUAGACACUGUGUAAUCGGAAUUUUAAUAAAAGUUUUUGGUGGAUA